rnacentral:rRNA from 1 species
AGUGAACGCUGGCGGUAGGCCUAACACAUGCAAGUCGAACGGCAGCACAGUAAGAGCUUGCUCUUACGGGUGGCGAGUGGCGGACGGGUGAGGAAUACAUCGGAAUCUACUUUUUCGUGGGGGAUAACGUAGGGAAACUUACGCUAAUACCGCAUACGACCUACGGGUGAAAUCAGGGGAUCAUCGGACCUUGCGCGAUUGAAUGAGCCGGUGUCGGAUUAGCUAGUUGGCGGGGUAAGGGCCCACCAAGGCGACGAUCCGUAGCUGGUCUGAGAGGAUGAUCAGCCACACUGGAACUGAGACACGGUCCAGACUCCUACGGGAGGCAGCAGUGGGGAAUAUUGGACAAUGGGCGCAAGCCUGAUCCAGCAAUACCGCGUGGGUGAAGAAGGCCUUCGGGUUGUAAAGCCCUUUUGUUGGGAAAGAAAAGCAGCAGGUUAAUACCCCGCUGUUCUGACGGUACCCAAAGAAUAAGCACCGGCUAACUUCGUG